rnacentral:rRNA from 1 species
UACUCGAGUGGCGAACGGGUGAGUAACACGUGGGUGAUCUGCCCUGUACUUUGGGAUAAGCCUGGGAAACUGGGUCUAAUACCGAAUAUGACCACUUCUUGGAUGGGGUGGUGGAAAGCUUUUGCGGUAUGGGAUGAGCUCGCGGCCUAUCAGCUUGUUGGUGGGGUAAUGGCCUACCAAGGCGUCGACGGGUAGCCGGCCUGAGAGGGUGUACGGCCACAUUGGGACUGAGAUACGGCCCAGACUCCUACGGGAGGCAGCAGUGGGGAAUAUUGCACAAUGGGCGCAAGCCUGAUGCAGCGACGCCGCGUGGGGGAUGACGGCCUUCGGGUUGUAAACUCCUUUCGCAACCGACGAAGCUUUUGUGACGGUAGGUUGAGAAGAAGCACCGGCUAACUACGUGCCAGCAGCCGCGGUAAUACGUAGGGUGCGAGCGUUGUCCGGAAUUACUGGGCGUAAAGAGCUCGUAGGUGGUUUGUCGCGUCGUUUGUGGAAUACCGCAGCUUAACUGCGGGGUUGCAGGCGAUACGGGCAUAACUUGAGUGCUGUAGGGGAGACUGGAAUUCCUGGUGUAGCGGUGGAAUGCGCAGAUAUCAGGAGGAACACCGAUGGCGAAGGC